rnacentral:ncRNA from 1 species
CGCCAGCUGCCGAUCGGGGCAGUUGAAGGACCAAUCGGGGUCAGUGAA